GACGAACGCUGGCGGCGUGCUUAACACAUGCAAGUCGAACGAUGAAGCCGGAGCUUGCUCUGGUGGAUUAGUGGCGAACGGGUGAGUAACACGUGAGUAACCUGCCCUUGACUCUGGGAUAAGCGUUGGAAACGACGUCUAAUACCGGAUACGAGCUAGGACCGCAUGGUCACUAGCUGGAAAGAACUUCGGUCAAGGAUGGACUCGCGGCCUAUCAGCUAGUUGGUGAGGUAACGGCUCACCAAGGCGACGACGGGUAGCCGGCCUGAGAGGGUGACCGGCCACACUGGGACUGGGACACGGCCCAGACUCCUACGGGAGGCAGCAGUGGGGAAUAUUGCACAAUGGGCGCAAGCCUGAUGCAGCAACGCCGCGUGAGGGACGACGGCCUUCGGGUUGUAAACCUCUUUUAGCAGGGAAGAAGCGCAAGUGACGGUACCUGCAGAAAAAGCACCGGCUAACUACGUGCCAGCCGCCGCCGUAAUAC
rnacentral:rRNA from 1 species